ensembl:snRNA U6 U6 spliceosomal RNA
GUGCUCACUUCAGCAGCAAAAUAUACUAAAAUUAGAAUGAUACAGAGAGGUUUACAUGACUUCUGCACAAGGAUGACACACUAGGUAGUAAGGCAUUCUAUAUUUCU